AAACUACUCAGCUUUUACUUUCAUUUUCUUCCAGUGAGGAGGGCCCCAAGUCCAUGAUCAACAUCUAGCAAACUUUGAAAUACAUCCCUGGUCCAACACACCUCCAUCAAAUGACUGAACUCCCUCAUCAGCAGCCAUUCAGCUCUGUAGAGGCCUGGUAAUGAGCCACUGAUUUGAUUCAGGUGUGUUGGACAUGGGACGUGUCUGAGAGCUGCAGGAUGGUGGAUCUCAAGAACUGAACUUGGGUAUCUAGUGUGUUGGGUCCCGUCCAGCACAUCUUUACUGAGAGACUGCUUGACUGUUAAAUCAUCCAUCUUCCUAUCCACCUCACAUAGCAAUUUUUAAUGUAGGUCAAAAAAUUUUAUUUCAUUCACAUUAAUCCAUUUAUUUGUUUUGUCUCCUACAUGACUUUUUGGAUAAAUUAAUCUUUGAGAUUCCUUGUAACUGUCAUCCAUCUUGAAACUCUCCCAUAGGAGCAAGGUUUGUUAACUGCAUGGCAAAUAGUAGACCUGUGAACAAAUUGUGGAUCUCUGCAGCUCAUCCAGAGGUACCAUGGGUCUCUUUUUCUGUUACUCUGAUUAUUGGUCUUCUUGUUGGCCUGUCAGUUUAAACUGAUCUUUGUCUUGCUAGGGUUGCAGGUGUGCCACAUUCCCUUUUCAGGUGAUGGACUGAACAAUUCUUUUUGACAUGUUCAAAGCUUGGGAAAUUAUACAGAACUGUGCAAAAAAAACAGAAAACUGUCACUGGCUCGCCUAAGGUAAAGAGUGUCCUUUCAGCUUUACCAGAACA